GCCGGCCUCCUUCGCCCCGCCCCGUCCGCGCAGCUCGUCCGGCCCGCCCGCAGGCCAGCUUCUCUCGGGAGCCUCCACCCAGGCGCAUGGCUCCAUGAAGCAAGAGGAGGAGGCAGAGCGCGAGAGAUCCCGUCCGCCCCAGCCGCGUCUGGGCCAGGAGAAAAGCAAAACCAUAUUCCUGCUGCUGUCAGUUUUGAUGCACUGAGAAAACUUCAGAGACCUAAGCUUUUUCCAGAGAAGAGAAGCUUUACUGGUGUUCCAGCCCUAAGGCUCAUAUGACAUUAACAGACAAGACACUUUUCAGAAAGACAGGUAAGUCAUUUGUUAAAAUCUCACUACUGUUGUUUAACAGAAACAUAUAUAUGCAUGUAUAUGUGUGUACUGUAUGGAAAAAGUGGAAUUAGAGUUUAUCUAGAAAAGAAAAAAUUACCUCAUCUAAGUGCAGAAAUGAAUAAUACUUAAACCAUACCAUACAAUUCUCUAUCAUAUUUCCACAGAUAAGUCAAAAAUUUAAAAAAUCUUAUUGUUCAUGCAUAAAUGCAGAAAACAAUAUCUCUAGUAUAUGUUUGUGUUCUAUUGUACUUUCACAGAAGGUGUUUGAUACUUAAUACUGUGUUUAUUAAGAAAAAUCUUUGCAAUGGUUAUGGAAUUAAAAUUUCAUGUAAAAAUGAUUAUGUAGAUCAAGAAAAGUUGCAAUUUUCUGGAUUCCUGAUAUUUUAAAUAAAAGUAGUUUCCAAAGGCGA
rnacentral:lncRNA from 1 species